AAAGGAUACUUGUGGUCAAAAGUAUACCAAAGUCUAAAAAGCCAGGCGCUCUCUUGCUUGGUCUUGCUUUGUCCUUCUGACUGGGUUCCAUCCUGCGGAGAGGAAGAGGAAAUGGAAACACUAAGAGAGAGCGAGAGAGAGAGAGAGACAGAAAGGCAUUUAAGAGACUAGGCGGAUCCCCUCUAAGCAUGUUCUCUUCAGGUGAAGUCAAAAGGUCACCACCACCUGUACAAGAGUUCAAAGUCCAUCAUCACCUGACGUAAUUCCACAGUCUACGCAGCCUCUCCUUCUCUGCAGCAGAUGUCUCUCCAACCCUGAGCACAACACAGAACUCUUGAGACCAGCCCUGAAAACAUCAAACAUCCUAAUAGCUUCUACUGAGAAAAGACUUCAAACUCUGAGAUUUCUCUGACUGCAAAGACAGGUCUUUGUGUAUAUUUACUGGUAUUUGUGUUUCUUGGUACAUAACUACAUAUGAAAACAUAAAAAAUAAACAAAUUAAAUGAGGGAAUUAAUUUAAAAAUGAGUGAUAUAAUGGUUAAAUGCUCCAAAAACAGACAUUUUCUUUCUGAUACAUAAAGUAUGUUUGGGGCUUCACAUUGCUGCUCUGAAUUGGCUCUCUGUGCGCUGAGCUCAAUGUUUAUAGAGUAAGUGGAACCUCCCAGGACUGUUCUAGAAAAGGCAGAACUGACCAGCACAGAGGAAAAAAAGUCAAAACCAAUGUCCAAGAGAAUCGUCUGGCUUAGGUCUUGAGCAACAGACAGCCUCCAACCACUGUCAGCCCAUUCAAAACUGUAUAUAAGCUUUUUUUUUUUUACAACAGUUUAUUAA